CCUGUCCGUGUGUGUGGCUCAGCCUGGGCUCCGCGGCCUCCCCUUGCACCGGACGUGGACCCAGGCUGCCGUUGGGCAAGAUAGAGGACUGAGCCAAGGCACAAACGGCUGGCCAGGGAAACUGCUCCCUGGGCGCCUGGAGGUCCAUAUUGAGAGCGUCCUGCCAGCCAUGAGAGAUCACCUUCCCCUGAUGCAGAGGCAGACCUCUCCCCCUUGAGGCCCAGUGGACACCUGGCUCAGGUCCCAACUGUGUGCCCUGGACACACAGAGCCCCAGAUCUCUGGCACAGACUGGGGUGUGGUUGUGUCGGGGCAGAAAAGGCCCAGGCUGCUUAUGUACGUUUGGAGGGCCAGGUUCAAAGACUCUGCAUCCAUCCAGGACAAUAGCAUCAAGAGAAGAACAGACAGAGCAGAAGGAGAUCUGGGGUUUCCCCCAGGAAUGAGGUGGAACAGGGAUUUCUGCAGAUUUGCAAGGCGUCCCCUACCACUGAGCAUGGGGUUACAACCCCACGUGACUACCGUCGUGUUUGGCUUGGGCUCUGGAUCUGGCCUGCUCAUUUAUUCUUCCAGCUGAGUUCCAGAAACUCAGAGGGUGGACUUUGAGGGGCUGCGUUUGGAACCUAGUGAGGAGCUGGAUGGUCCUUUAUAUUGAGUCCCUUCAGCCUAAUCACCGUAGCUGAAUCCCAACACCCCCCAGGCACCCAGGGUGGCUGUGGAGGGAGAGAAAGCCUGGCAGGCGACCUAGGGGUCCCACUGCUCUGUCCCUCCCUUGUCUUCAUUCCCUUUCACCCCAGAAGGUGUGAUUGUCUCGUGUCAUGGUGGCCGCCGUAGUGUCCCUCCCAGCAAUCUCUCUUCUCCAUCAGGUGGGGUUCCCAACCCCACUCAGCCUUCUCUCUGCAUGGAUGCUGAAGGACCAGGACCACCUGAAUUUCUGAGCUUGAGCAGUAAGGUGGAAAAAAAGAAACCAAUGGAAACAAAGAAACAAGUUAUUGUGGCAAAACUGCCCACCACAGAGAAGCUGCCCUGAGUGGAAGGGAGGGUGUGGGCAUGCCCAUUUGUUUCCUGUCUCCCAGUGCUCUUAGCUUUCUUAUUGCAGACCUGCAUGGUUACAACAAAAUGAUCUGCAAAACUGAAAAUAUUUACUCUCUCGCUUUUACAGAAAAGGCUGGUCAGCCUCUGGUCCGGUACCAGGCAAGUGAUUGGAGUCCCUUUCCAGUUUGGAAACAUCUGGGCAGGCCCAGCUGAUAAGGUUACUUUUCUACUUUGAACAAGCAAACAAGCCAACAGAAGAGAAGUUUCACAAGCAACUCCCAGCACAUCCGCUCACCUAGUGUUGUCUGUGACCUCACUCUCGGUGCCCCACCUCUUAUUACAGAUUGAACAGGGUCCAGGGGGAAGGACCAAGCCUGUCCCAUCGGCCAUCCUAUGUGUCAUGUCCUGGGACCCAGUGGAUGCUCAGCACCUGAAGAAGAUUGUCUUAGACACAUGGAAGCUGAGGACGCCUACUGUCCCCUCGGAACCCAGGUGGGGCUGGGAGUCUGCUGUUUGUAUAGCCGGUGGGCUCGUGUUGCUUUGGGCAUCCCUGUGUCUGAAUUCCUGCAGUACACUCGGUGGUUUUACCUGAACCACCAGCUUCUGCAUCUCUGAAGACAGAUGAUGAGGACCCUUCACGUAAGCCGUUCGCACAGC